AGUGGGGGGGGGCGGGGGCAGCCCCUCGCGCUGGGCGGAGCGAGGAGCGCGGGGCUCCCGCUGCCUUGCGUCAUUACGCAGCUGCUAGGCGACGCGGGGCGGGAUGGUGGUCGCGGCUGUUGCUGCGUGGUGUUGGUGUUGUCCCGCCCUCAGCAGGCGGCGGGGCUGUGGGGGGAGGGGUGCGAGGUCUGCCGUGCGCGGCUGUUCGUCGCCUCAGGGAAGGCGCUGCGGGGUGUGGGUGCUCUGUGAUAGGUGAGCAAGGCUGUCUGCUGGGACAAGCAGGCUGUUGGAGCAUCAGUGAAGAAAUGAGUUAGGGAAAGAAGGAAGAACGCCAGGGCCAGAGAACUUACUCCACAAAAACGUGAAGACUUUUUACAGGAGACAGUUGAGAGGAGGACGGAUGGCAGAGAAGAACUGACAGGCGUAAUGCUGACUCAAACCCACCAACAGACACGUGCUCUAACUCCAGAGCAAGCUGUUACCUGCCUGCCAACAUAAUGUGGUACUGUCAGAAAAGUGUUCUCCAAACUGGCAGUCAGCUACAGCUUUCUGGCAGCUCUCUGGGAAUUCCUCCAAGUGGAAUGAGCAGAAGGCCGCAAGGAAGUCCACUUCAUAGCCUGCUCCAGUCAGGAAGAGCAUUCCACCUGACAGAUUUCUGUUUUGUAGGGUGGGUUGGUGUGUGCAGGAUGUGCAGUGGCAAUAAAGCAUGGAUUAAAAAAAGG